UGAUCCACUGGUCUUAGCAACACAGCAGUGUUCCUUAAAGAGAUAUCUGAGGUUUUGCUGAGCCAUCAAAGAAUGCACAUUAAAAACACUCAUUGCCUGUCAACAGCAUGUGAAUCCUGCUCGCCGCCUCUUCUAUGGGUGGUGAGCACCCCUCGGUUGACUCCCCUCAAUCUUACCUCGGAUCUGAAGGAUUUAACGCACUCUUUCUUUACUGGAUCUUACUGCGAACACCUGCUUUCCGGAUUAAACCUGGACUAAAGAUGAAGAAGAGAUGGAUGGAGAGUUGGUGAAGUCUCUAGCGAUAUCUGCUGGUCAUAGUAAAAGCUGCAGAACUGAUGACGGACGCCAAAUGAGGAGAGGAAGAUGAUUUCAUCAGUGGAAAUACAGUAGUCUGAAGAAACCAUGUUUCCUCUUCUCUUAAAUCCGAGGUUCUGUAAGAUGCCUUGAAGCUGAUGGUAAGUUUACGGAGUUUACUGACAUUUGCCUCUGAUUUGAAAUGUAUUUAGAGCCAAUGGUAAUUAGUCAAGAAAUUCAACCUCAAAUUAGUUUCUCUAACAUCAUUUGGUAAUUUCAACAAAUUGCUUACAAUUCAGCCAUUGUUUUAGCAAACUUGGAAUUCAGGUUUGCAUCAGUCUUGGAUUGUAACACUUUUCUUUGUUUGAUUUAUUCAUGUAACACCUACUUUUAUGGUAUUUUGGUAUUAGACAUCACUGUCUUCAAAUAAACUUAAUUCAUUCAUUCAUUAAUGAGUUUACUCUCAUAAUGCAAGAUGACUAU